UACAGAGGUGGCAAGCGUUGUUCGGAAUUACUGGGCGUAAAGGGCGCGUAGGCGGUCCUCUAAGUCUUGUGUGAAAUCCCUGGCUCAACUGAGGAACUGCACGGGAUACUGGAAGACUUGAGUUCGGGAGAGGGAAGCGGAAUUCCGGGUGUAGCGGUGAAAUGCGUAGAUAUCCGGAGGAACACCGGUGGCGAAGGCGGCUUCCUGGACCGACACUGACGCUGAGGCGCGAAAGCUAGGGGAGCAAACGGG
rnacentral:rRNA from 1 species